CUGUAUAAAUAAAGGAAUCAGUGACUCAACCCUUAGAGAGUUGUCUUAGGAAACCUGUUACUAAAAAUAUAUUGCAAUCCAACUGUGCCUUGCGUGCCAUUUUGCCAAGCCAAACUCAGCGAGAAGACUGCUGGCUUUCUCCACGGCGUGGCAUCAUUAGGGGGAUAAACCGUGAGCCUGGUCUAAUGAGCAAUGAAACACUUUGUCCCCCCAACUGCCUCCGCCUCUGGACUGACCUGGUGCUUCCCCAUGUGACCCUGCAUGGUGUCUGAUGUUCUCCCCAAGGAACCCUGCUGUCAGAAGAGGAAGAGGCCUUUCCAAACAGACAUCUGUCUUCCAGUGGAUCUGCCUCUCCAGACCCCACCCAGGGCUGCUCUGAGCCUCACAGAGAAUAAUGCUAGGAGAUGCCCUCAUCCUGGCCCAACUGGGACGGUUGGGCACUGGCCCCUGGUUCCAGUUUCCUUCUCAGCCCUAGAGCCCAGGUUGAGAGGCUCCUGGGCAGUGACUCCGUCAGAAGAUGUUGAUUCCACAUAUAAACGAUAUCGUAUGACAUCUGGAGGCCGAGAGUUUUGAGUGCCAUUCACCAAUACCAGGAAACUAACUUACUCGCUGUGACCUUAAACCUGUGAAAUGAGAUUUAUCCAGAAGCGGGAGUUAUAAGCGAUGGGAUCAACUCUCAGGAAAUGAAUGAUCUAAUUGUGAAUGGUGUCAAAGGACCUAUUCUAUAAGCAAGCAAGGCAGACUCCGAUCUAUAUUCUCCUACACAAACAGUAGGAAAUGUGGGGCAUUGUGUGAUACUCACUGGAAAAGAAAAAAUGUAAAAGGAAAGCAAUGAAUUUUCUUCGACCUUAGAAAACAUUAUUUUUGUGGGUAUAACCUAGAAUCAAUUAUUAACCCCCUUUUGAAUAAAGCAUAACGUGUAGUAAACUGCAAGGAGGGUUGUUCAUUUCAUUGAAUGAUAAAUAAAAUGAUGUUUGACCAAUUUGAUGAGGACAGUACGUCAGACUCAAAUGUUCCGGCCUUUGAUGUUGCCGUAGCGACAAACCUUAUUAAGAAGCUUUUUACAUUUAAAAUAUGAAAAAUGCAAACAAAAUUUAGUAGUGAAAGUAAAAUUAAAUAUUUAAUGACAUAAUUAAGUCUAUUAAUGGUAUGUUCUUUAUUUUGCAGAUUAA